AACUCAUAGAAGUUAAUAUAAAUAAUUAUCGCAAGUUUAUAUAAAUAGAAGUUACCACAAAAAAACUUUAAAGAGUUAAUCGCAAAAUAUUAACUAAAGUAUUACAAAAGUUAAAAAUGUUUAAGGCGUGACUACAUAAUCAAGAGGUUUUGGGAGGAGAAGGUUUCUUAGGCUUGGGGGGAUAGGCUAUCAAUGAUCUUCUCCAAUCCUGAUGAAUCUACAUUGUUUUGAUCUUCAAUGAAGAAGUUCUCAUCACCGAUCACAGUCUCGGUGUCAUCCUCCGCAUUCUCUUUCUCCUCUUCCUUUUCUUCAUCUUCCCAUCUCUUCUUCAAGUCCUCAACAGUAACAAAAGUUAAAAAUGUUCAAGGCAUGACUACAUAAUCAAGAGGUUUUCGGAGGAGAAAGGUUUCUUAGGCUGGAGGGGGUAGGCUAUUAAUAAUCUUCUCCAAUCCUGAUGAAUCUACAUUGUCUUGAUCUUCAAUGGAGAAGUUCUCAUCACCGAUCACAGUCUCGGUGUCAUCCUCCGCAUUUUCUUUCUCAUCCUCUUCCUUUUCUUCAUCUUCCCAUCUCUUGUUUAAGUCAUCGACAGCAACAAAAGUUAAAAAUGUUUUAAGGCAUGACUACAUAAUCAAGGGGCUUUCGGAGGAGAAGGUUUCUUAGGCUUGGAGGGAUAUGCUAUCAAUAAUCUUCUCCAACCUUGAUUAAUCUACAUUGUCUUGAUUCUUCAAUGGAGAAGUUCUCAUCACCAAUCACAGUCUCGGUGUCAUCCUCCGCAUUCUCUUUCUCCUCCUCUUCCUUUUCUUCAUCUUUCCAUCUCUUCUUUAAGUCCUCGACAGCAACAAGAUUGUCUUAGACCCACUAGUGCACUUGGGGAGCAUCGAAGUCCGGAAAGACAACCAGACCGAAUUGCACAAGUUCAUUAUAUUCUGUCAAAUUAGUCAUAAAUUCCUGGUGAAAACUCACUUGACGUGAUUUUAGCGCUUCUAAUUCAGCAAUCACUUCAACUUGAUCAGAACGCUCUUUCUUCAAUAUAUCCAUCUGCUCACGUAGCUCUUCAUUUUCAACUGUCGUGUUGACCGCAGAUGGUCGAGCGAGCAACAAGGCAUUCUCAGUCUUUAAAGCUUCAUAGUCCGCUUGCAGUUUAGUCAUUAGCUUCUAUAGCAUUUUUCAAUAACGUGAACUAUUUUUCAACGAGUGUCUUGGCAGCUGUGGAUUGAGCUUGAUCUACCGUUGCUUCCUUCUGUUUGCCUUCGAUUUCUAUGAGCAUACUUGCCUUAGACUACAGAUCCUUGCUUAGAAUGUUGUUGUUACCCCGCAGCAUAGUCAUGUCGGUCGCGAGAGUGGAUACCUUUAGUUCAAAGACCCUGACCUGAACUUGCUCUUCAUAGAUGUUAACUCAUCCAUCCAUCAUCUUCUGAUGAUCUCGAAUACCAGAAAGGACUUGCAAGCCGCCCUUGUACAAAUGAUCAAGCUGCAAAAGAUAAAACACGUUAGCAAGUGAUGAGGGUGAAACCCGAUCAGUACUCCAAGACGCUUCAGCAAGCGUCAGGCGGGGAACUCCGUAGGAAAUCGGACCAGAACUCAAGUGCGCAGAGCUCUACUUCGUUAGGACUUCUCCACUCCAAAUGACCUACCUUCAAUGAGUGGGGGUGCCUCUUAUUUAUAGGGAUUCUUAUGGGGGUCAUUUGGGCAGUAAUCGCCUAAUCGCCUAACUGAUCAGAUUGGGUCUUAAGGUCGACUUUUCAGAGAUCGACUUUCCUGGGACUCGACUUUGUUCAGAAGUCGAUCCUUGGGAAAGUCGAUCUUCUUAUGAGUUGACUUGGGACCUCCCAAUCCUUAGAAUAGGUACCUCAGCUCAUCUCAGGUUAUCCAAACUUCUAGUUGCUGGUAAGUUGUGACCAGGUUCGAGAUACUGUAUCACCAGUACUCCCCCCUCCUUUGCGUAUUGGAUAUCUAGGGAUACGUCUUUUAGUACUAUGGUCUAUGUAUUGGACCUCGUCCUAUCAGUAUUCCCCCUGUUUACGUGCUGGGGUGUGGACUGUCGAUGAUGUCCAGGGAUACGAGAUCCUCUCUCACCAGUUCUCCCCCCCUUCUACGACCGUGAGGUUAUACCUGUGCUUCUAUGGAGGUUGUCACAUACUUUUGCUAACUAUUGUCCGGUUUGUCCCAGCCGAAGCAUUCUUCUUACGCAGCUUGCCUAGCCCGAUUUCCGAGCGGAACCCUGCUUGUCCACCUUGACGCCUUGCUGAGUUGUCUCCGAGCAAUGUUCGAGUACCUCUCCCCUUUUCUGUAGCUGGAGUUGAGUGUUGUCCUUUCUACCUAUCUUAUUUUAUAAGUGAAGUUCUCUUUUGAACUCUUGCCCCCUCCUUCUGUCCGCUGCUUUCGCGGUUAGGUUUGAGUGUUGUCCCUUCUACCUAUUCUGUUUUAUAGGUGAAGUUCUCUUUUGAACUCUUGCCCCUUCCUUCUGCCCGCUGCUUCCGCGGCCGGGGUUGUCAUUUGUAGACUUGUUCCUCGUCUACCUAUGUUCUUUCAUAGGUGAAGUUCAUUUUUGAACACAUACCCCUCUGUCUACGUUCUUCUGUAGAUGGGGUUAGUGUCUUACUGGUAUGUCCUCUGUCUACCUACGUUCUUCCGUAGGUGGGGUUCAUUAUUGAACAUUUAUCCCUUCGUAGGUGGGACGUGUGUUUUGCCAAUGUGUCCCCCGUCUACCUACGUUCUUCCGUAGGUGAGGUUCACUUCUGAACACUUACCAAUCUGUCUACGUUCUUUUGUAAAUAGGACGCGUGUUUUGCCGAUGUGUCCCCCGUCUACCUACGUUUUUCCGUAGGUGAGGUUCAUUAUUGAACAUUUAUCCCUCCGUAGGUGGGAUGUGUGUUCUGUUGCUGUAUCCUCAUCUACCUAUGUUCUUCCAUAGGUGAGGUUUACUUUUUGAACACUUACCCCUCUAUCCACGUUCUUUCGUAGAUUGGGUUAAAAAAAAAAAUUAUCGGUGUGCCCCUCGACUACCUACGUUCUUCCGUAAGUGAGGUUCACUUUUUAGCAUAUACCCUUCUGCCUACGUUCUUUGUAGAUGGGGCUAAUGCUUUGCCGAUGUUCCCCGUCUACCCACGUUCUUCCGUGGAUGAGGUUUGCUUUUGAACACUUCUCCUACGUUUUUUGAAGGUGGGAGUGUGUCGUGUUCCCCGUCUACCCGUGUUCUUCCGUGGGUGGGGUUUGUUUUUGGAUACUCACUCCUCUGUCUACGUUCUUUUGUAGAUGCGGUGAGUGUUUUCGGAUGGGGUACGCAUCCUGACCCUGUUACCACUAAGACUUUCUCUACCUACGUUCUUCCGUAGGUAGAGUUAACUUGGCGUCCUAUUCUGUUACUGCGUUCAUAAUUGUAGGAGUUCAAAUAUCUUAGAGUGGCAUGGUUCAUUCUGUUGCCGUACCGUCAUCGAUGUUAUUCUUCCUUGUUGGUGUGACCGUAAAGCUUCUGCAUCUUUCAGGUCUUUUCUGUUGUUCUGCGGAUUUCCGGGGUAUUUUUCCUACACCCCCUGCUCUGGUGAAUUUCAAAACAUCAGGAGUAUUUUUCCUACACCCCCUGCCUUGAUGAACUUCCACAAUAUUUCAAGAGUAUUUUUCCUACACCCUCCUGUUUUGGUGAAUUUCAAAACGUCAGGAGUAUUUUUCCUACACCCCCUCCCUGCCUUGGUGAACUUCUACAAUAUUUUAGGAGUAUUUUUCCUACACUCCUCUGCCUUGGUGAAUUUCAAAACAUCAAGAGUAUUUUUCCUACACCCCCUGUCUUGGUGAAUUAUUGCAAUAUUUCAGGUGUAUUUUUCCUACACCCCCUGCCUUGAUGAAUUUCAAAAUGUUAGGGUUCUUUUUUCUACGCCCCCUAUGUUGGUGAGUGGGGAGAAAAAGUUGAUCCCCCGUAGUGUUGAUCGACUUUUGUGGAAAA
rnacentral:lncRNA from 1 species